AUUUGGGGGUACAUCUCCUCGCACUCAGGUGGAAGAAAUUCCUCGCCCUCAAGUCCAACUAAUUCAGGACCUGCAUCUCUGAUAUACCGUGGUUGGUUCCUUCCUUGAUGCCUUCUCUCUUGACAAUCGAUGAAAUACACAACUAGCUUGCACAUAUUUAAGGAGCACGUACAGUUUCAUUGUGUAAAAAAUAGUAGCAGGUGGGUAUUUUAGCAGUUCAGCUAUCUGAAAGAGAAAAUGAGUUGCUUCAGCAGAAAACCGAGGUCAUGACAUUAGCCACUUCACUGAAACCGGUCAGUUCAUCACUUCAUCUUUGUUCGUUG